rnacentral:lncRNA from 1 species
GGAGAAGCAGGAGAGACCUCGUGAGUACCAGCAUACUGGAGUGAAGCAGCCGCAAGCCAAGGAACGCCUGGAGCCACCAGAAGCAGGAAGAGGCAGGGGAAGGUUCUCCCUCAGAGCCUUUGGAGGGAGCACACCCUACUGAAACCCAGAGUUUAGAUUUCUGGCCUCCAGAACUGUGAGAAUAUCAAUUUCUGUCAUUUAAAGUCAGCAGGUUUGUGGUAAUUUGUUGCAGUAAGCCCAGGAAACAGAUGCACCCCUUCCCCUUUCCCCUUUCUAGCUCCUCAUCUUUUCCUUAGGAGGAGCAAACCUGUCCCAUGCAGGGUGGUUUUCCAUUUUCUGUGUUUAUAGGGUCUUACCCUCUAUUUGUGUUUCCCCCGUCAUGGUCCAUUUGGGCUGCUAUAACAAACUACCAUAGACAGGGUGGCUCUUAAACGUCAGAAAUGUAUUUCUCACAGCUCUGGAGGCUGGCAGGCCAAGAUGAAAGCACUGGCAGAUUCGGUGUCUGGUGAGGGCUGCUUCCUGGCUCACAGAUGGCAUCCUCUCCUGCGUCCUCACAUGGCAGGAAAAUGCCCUCUAUGAGAAGAAUUCUGAUGCCAACACCAAUCCAUUUCUGAAAUCUACUUCGAUUCAUCUCUUGGGUCUUUUGAACCUGUUCUCCCCCCAGUGAUGCUGUGUUGAGGGCAGAGGUGCGCUCAACAUUGAAUGAGACCACAUUCAGGCUGCAGUGAUUGUGCCCUAAAGAGUUCAAGACAUGAUUGGAGGAAGCCCUGUUCUAUGUUUUUGCUAUUAAAUUCUGAAUGGAAGAAUGUAUGUGAGUAGAUUCUGAAGGAGUGGGACCCGGGAAGAUGGAAUAAAAGAUUAGAUCAGGCAGAAUUAAUUAAUAUUGGAGCAGUCACCUGGGAUUCUAGAUUUAAUAUAUUGACUCAGACGACUAUGAAGUGAUACUUAACUGAAGCCUGGAUUCAACAAUGACCUACAACAGGGUUUCUCAAAAUUUAACAUGCAGAAGAAUCACUUGAUGAUCUUGUUGAAAUGCAGAUUCUGAUUCUCGAGGACUACGGUGAGCCUGGGGUUGUGUGUUUCAAACAAGGUCUAAUUCAUGGAUCAUACUCAAGUAGCAAAACCCUAAAAUCAAUAAUGUAGAGAAAGGAGUCUAAAGGCUCCGGAGACGGGACUGUUGGAAUGGACUUAACAUGAGCAGCUUGCUCAGCCACUACUUAACCAUCUCCCCAGGAAGUCCUAGAGGACAUCCCCUUCAUUAAGAUAUAAAACUGCAUUGCUCAAGAGAGCAUCAGAAUUACUGAAAGUGUUGUGGCUAUCUGCCAUAGGUCAGAGAUCAUGGUGGGCAGAUGUUGCAAUGAAGUUGAGUUCCCUGAUUUCAGUGGAAAUAAUGGGUGAUGGUAUGGUAGAGCCCUGGUGGUGAUGCUUAGCCAUCAAAAACAUGUUUAUACAAAAUUAUCAUUAUAUGCUGCUGGAAUAAAGGCUGCCAUGGUCUGAAUGUUUGUGUCUCCUCAAAAUUUAAAUGUUAAAACCCUAGCCCCCAAGGUAAUGGUACUAGGAGUAGGGCCUUUGGAAGGUGAGUAGGUCAUGAGGGAGGAGUCCUCAUGAAUGGGAUUGUGCCCUUAUAAAACAGGCCUGAGAGAGGACCUCUGGCUUCUUCUGCCAUGUGAGGACACAGAAAGAAGGAGCUGUUUAUGAAGCCUGGCCCUCACCAGACACUGAAUCUCCUGGCACCUUGACCUUGGACUUCCCAGCCCCUAAAACUAUGAAAAAUAAAUAUCUGUUUUUUAUAAGACACCAAGUCUGUAUAAUUUUGUUACAGCAGCUUAAAUGGACUAAGAUGGGGUGAUCUAUAUUUUUACUCACAUGGAUCUAAAUGAUGGCAAAUAGAUCAAGGACGCAAAGGAAUAGAAUGGCUAGGCAGUCUGCCAAAGUGCUAAUUGAAAUGUAAAAGUGGAAGUAUUCUAAGUCUAGUAGACAAAAAUAGAAAUCAAGACAUUGUAAUAGGGUUUCAUAGUCUCUUACCCAAUUAUCAGACGUAAGUCUGUUCAAAAAGACUUGGAGUCUCCCGAUUGAGGAGAAAGUUGAGCCCCUUUGGGAAAGGGUGCUUGAGUGUUAUCACAUGUAUAUAUUGUAAAUAUUUCUUCAUGUCUUUCCCCAAGAAACCAGCAUCCAUUUACCAGAGUGACUGCACUGAUGACAGAGAAAUAAGCAGAACAUUUGGGUAUUCUUGGACAGUGACUUUGAGCUGAUUCUAAUCUCUAGAGUUCCAUAAAUGCCUCGGAGUUCAUUGGCAAGAGUGAAGACUUAUGAAUGUUAGGUGAUAGAUGGACUCCUGACUCAAACUCAUCUCAAUAAAUUAAGGAACCUAACCUACUGUCAUUCCUACGCCAGACUGUAUAGUGUAACUUAGAAAUGCGUAGUAACCAGCAGAAUCUCCAUAUUGGUUCUCUGAUCUGUGGAGUGAGAGCUGUUAGGUUAAGAAGCACCAAAAAGGGGUCCUUGAAACUGACUUUCUAUAGGGGAAUUUCAGAUAUAUUUCCUCCACUAAGAACUUUUAAAAGGCAGGAGGUAGUGAUUCCUAUGGCAUCACCCUUUAAUGAACAUGUUUUGCUGGUGAAAGAGCUAUGUGGGUCUUUGAGGAUGACUGUGGAUUAUUUCAGACUUAAUCAUGUGGUAACUCCAAUUCAAGCUGCUGUUCUUAAUGUGGAAUAUUUACUGGUGAAAGUCAACAGAACUUCUGGCACCUGGUAUACAGCUAUUGACCUAGCAGAUAUUUUCUAUUCUUUUUUUUUAAACAUGAAAUUUACCAUUUUAAUGAUUUUAAAAUGCAC